rnacentral:rRNA from 1 species
UACGUAGGGGGCGAGCGUUGUCCGGAUUCAUUGGGCGUAAAGCGCGCGCAGGCGGCUGGGCAAGUCGGCCGUGAAAUCUCCGGGCUUAACUCGGAGGGGUCGGGCGAGACUGCGCAGCUCGAGGCGGGUAGAGGGCAGUGGAAUUCCGGGUGUAGUGGUGGAAUGCGUAGAGCUCCGGAGGAACACCAGUGGCGAAGGCGGCUGCCUGGGCCCGGCCUGACGCUGAGGCGCGAAAGCGUGGGGAGCGAUCCGG